AGGAAUAUUGGUCAAUGGGCGGAAGCCUGAACCAGCCAUGCCGCGUGCAGGAAGACGGCCCUAUGGGUUGUAAACUGCUUUUGUACCGGAAUAAACCCCAUUAUGUAUAAUGGGCUGAAUGUACGGUAAGAAUAAGGAUCGGCUAACUCCGUGCCAGCAGCCGCGGUAAUACGGAGGAUCCAAGCGUUAUCCGGAUUUAUUGGGUUUAAAGGGUGCGUAGGUGGCCUGUUAAGUCAGGGGUGAAAGACGGUAGCUCAACUAUCGCAGUGCCCUUGAUACUGAUGGGCUUGAAUGAACUAGAGGUAGGCGGAAUGUGACAAGUAGCGGUGAAAUGCAUAGAUAUGUCACAGAACACCAAUUGCGAAGGCAGCUUACUAUGGUUUGAUUGACACUGAGGCACGAAAGUGUGGGGAUCAAACA
rnacentral:rRNA from 1 species